rnacentral:rRNA from 1 species
AACGAACGCUGGCGGCAUGCCUAACACAUGCAAGUCGAACGAGACCUUCGGGUCUAGUGGCGCACGGGUGCGUAACGCGUGGGAACCUGCCCUUAGGUUCGGAAUAACUCCCCGAAAGGGGUGCUAAUACCGGAUAAUGUCUUCGGACCAAAGAUUUAUCGCCUUUGGAUGGGCCCGCGUUGGAUUAGCUAGUUGGUAGGGUAAAAGCCUACCAAGGCGACGAUCCAUAGCUGGUCUGAGAGGAUGAUCAGCCACACUGGGACUGAGACACGGCCCAGACUCCUACGGGAGGCAGCAGUGGGGAAUAUUGGACAAUGGGCGAAAGCCUGAUCCAGCAAUGCCGCGUGCAGGAUGAAGGCCUUCGGGUUGUAAACUGCUUUUGUACGGAGCGAAAAGGCUUCCACUAAUACUGGGGGCUCAUGACGGUACCGUAAGAAUAAGCACCGGCUAACUACGUG